GCAUAACACAUGCAAGUCGAACGAUGAAACUUAAAUGAUUUCUUCGGAAUGAACUUAAGUGGAUUAGUGGCGGACGGGUGAGUAACGCGUGAGUAACCUGCCUUACACAAGGGGAUAGCCGUUGGAAACGACGAAUAAUACCCUAUGAAACUAUCACUUCGCAUGAAGCGAUUAGUCAAAGUGUUAGCGGUGUAAGAUGGACUUGCGUCUGAUUAGCUAGUUGGUGAGAAAAAAGCCCACCAAGGCAACGAUCAGUAGCCGGCUUGAGAGAGUGUACGGCCACAUUGGGACUGAGACACGGCCCAGACUCCUACGGGAGGCAGCAGUGGGGAAUUUUGCACAAUGGGGGAAACCCUGAUGCAGCGACGCCGCGUGAUUUAGAAGGCCUUCGGGUUGUAAAAAUCUUUUGUAUAGGAAGAAAAUGACAGUACUAUACGAAUAAGGUCCGGCUAAUUACGUGCCAGCAGCCGCGGUAAUACGUAAGGACCGAGCGUUGUCCGGAAUCAUUGGGCGUAAAGGGUACGUAGGCGGGUCAUUAAGUUAGAAGUCAAAGGCUAUAGCUCAACUAUAGUAAGCUUCUAAAACUGGAGACCUUGAGUAAUGGAAGGGAAAGUGGAAUUCCUAGUGUAGCGGUGGAAUGCGCAGAUAUUAGGAGGAAUACCGGUGGCGAAGGCGACUUUCUGGCCAUUA
rnacentral:rRNA from 2 species